CAGACCACCAAGAGGCAACAUGUAAGCUGACAGCUGAAAAAGGGCACAGACGUGCUGAGAAUAAACUGUUAAGAAUGUCUGUUUCCCGGGCGGUGGUGAUGCAUGCUUUUAAUCCCAGCACUUGGGAGACAGAGCUCCUACAGGAUGUGCUCCAACAAAACCAAGGUGGCUUUGGUUCCUAUUUGGUUUGGCUCUCAGGUAGCCCAAGCUGGUCUUGAACUCACUGUUUUGCUGAGGAUGUCCUUGAACAACUCCACUCCGCAAGGACUGGGAGUGCAGCUGUGUGCACCACACCCAGGCCAAGGAAGAAAAUGCAAGCGCCAGGAAACAAGG